AUGUUCUCACUGUUUAAAUUUAUUACAAAAUAUUUUAUAAAAAGCUGUCUAAUUUCACUUCCAGAAAUUAGGAGUUUAGAUGAAUUAGGCAGAAAUAUAUCUGUUUCUACUGCCAACAUCUGAUGCAGAAGAUCCCAAAACCUUCAACAAUUAAGUUCCUAAGACUGUUUUAUAAGGCACAAUACAAUGGUAAGCAGCAAAGCUUCAAAGACAACAAGAGAACCACUGCACAGGCAAAUGAUUACAACAAAGUUACUUCAGUGUGUCGCGCCAAGUUUUUUAUUACUGUAUCAGUGACCUGAGUUCUCAUGUACAUUGUUAUCCCCGUCCAAUAAUUGAGUUUGCGGCUGCUCCUCCUUUUUAAUCUCUUCAAUGUCUUUCACGCGCAAGAAGCUUGGCUGAUUGGUUGACGAAAGAAGACGUGCCCACAUCCUGUCAGUUAUAACCACCAUAUUUUGUUUCUCGGUAAUACGAUUGAAUGGAAUAUAAGUCUGGCGACCAUUGACAAGUCCUGAGGUGAAACCUGUGUAUCCUGCCAUUGCUCCAUGA
rnacentral:misc_RNA from 1 species